UAGCCUAAUGGUUAAGGCUAUGGAUCGCCAAUCCGUAGACGGCGGGUUCGAUUCCCGU
rfam:Aedes albopictus isolate Foshan contig64071, whole genome shotgun sequence.